CGCGGUGCUGGUCGGCGGCCGAGAGGCGCCCGUAGAGGGGGAGGACCUCGGUGCCCGGCAGGUUCCUGCCGCGGAUCGCGUCCUCGGCGUCGCGG
rnacentral:tRNA from 1 species